rnacentral:rRNA from 1 species
AAUCAACGCUGGCGGCGUGCCUCAGACAUGCAAGUCGAACGAUUAAAGCUCUCUUCGGAGAGUGCAUAGAGUGGCGUACGGGUGAGUAACACGUAAGUAAUCUACCUUUGAGUGGGGAAUAACAGUCGGAAAUGACUGCUAAUACCGCAUAAUGCAGCGGCACCGCAAGGUGACAGUUGUUAAAGGAGCAAUCCGCUUGAGGAGGAGCUUGCGGCAGAUUAGCUAGUUGGUAAGGUAACGGCUUACCAAGGCUACGAUCUGUAUCCGGCCUGAGAGGGCGGUCGGACACACUGACACUGAAUAACGGGUCAGGCUCCUACGGGAGGCAGCAGUCGGGAAUUUUGGGCAAUGGGCGAAAGCCUGACCCAGCAACGCCGCGUGAAGGAUGAAGUAUUUCGGUAUGUAAACUUCGAAAGAAUAGGAAGAAUAAAUGACGGUACUAUUUAUAAGCUCCGGCUAACUACGUGCCAGCCGCCGCCGUAAAAC